AUUGAACGCUGGCGGAAUGCUUUACACAUGCAAGUCGAACGGUAGAGGGGGCAACCCCUUGAGAGUGGCGAACGGGUGAGUAAUAUAUCGGAACGUGCCCAGUCGUGGGGAUAACGUAGCGAAAGUUACCGCUAAUACCGCAUACGAUCUAAGGAUGAAAGCGGGGGAUCGCAAGACCUCGCGCGAUUGGAGCGGCCGAUAUCAGAUUAGGUAGUUGGUGAGGUAAAGGCUCACCAAGCCGACGAUCUGUAGCUGGUCUGAGAGGACGACCAGCCACACUGGGACUGAGACACGGCCCAGACUCCUACGGGAGGCAGCAGUGGGAAUUUGGACAAUGGGCGCAAGCCUGAUCCAGCAAUGCCGCGUGCAGGAUGAAGGCCUC
rnacentral:rRNA from 1 species